UACGUAGGGGGCAAGCGUUAUCCGGAUUUACUGGGUGUAAAGGGAGCGUAGACGGCAUGGCAAGCUAGAUGUGAAAGCCCGGGGCUCAACCCCGGGACUGCAUUUGGAACUGUCAGGCUAGAGUGUCGGAGAGGAAAGCGGAAUUCCUAGUGUAGCGGUGAAAUGCGUAGAUAUUAGGAGGAACACCAGUGGCGAAGGCGGCUUUCUGGACGAUGACUGACGUUGAGGCUCGAAAGCGUGGGGAGCAAACAGG
rnacentral:rRNA from 1 species